AUCCAGCGGGGAUCGAUUUAUCGUGUCUAGUCUAGACGCAAUCAAUCGACCCCUGAGCGCUCUUCCGUCGACGCCUGUACUCCAGCUCCGUGCAAGGUGCAGGCGGAGUCGACGAGGGAGCGGCAGCAGUCGACUCACCGCCAUGAAGACACCGCAGUGAGUAGGUCCAAGUACGGUCGACUUCAGCUGCGUUAUUCGCUUAGCUGAAGUUGCAUAACUUAGAUCGAUUCCCAUCCCCCCAGUGUAGACCAGGC